CCUACGGGUGGCAGCAGUGGGGAAUAUUGCACAAUGGGGGAAACCCUGAUGCAGCGACGCCGCGUGAGUGAAGAAGUAAUUCGUUAUGUAAAGCUCUAUCAGCAGGGAAGAAAAUGACGGUACCCCUUGAAUAAGCCACAGCUUACUACGUGCCAGCAGCCGCUGUCAUACGGAGGUGGCACGCGGUGUUCGGGUUUACUGGGUGUAAAGGGCGUGCAGCCGGAGAGACAAGUCAGAUGUGAAAUACACGGGCUCAACCCGUGAACUGCAUUUGAAACUGUUUCCCUUGAGUGUCGGAGAGGUAAGCGGAAUUCCUGGUGUAGCGGUGAAAUGCGUAGAUAUAAGGAAGAACACCAGUGGCGAAGGCGGAUUACUGGACGAUAACUGACGGUGAGGCGCGAAAGCGUGGGGAGCAAACAGGAUUAGAUACCCCAGUAGUC
rnacentral:rRNA from 1 species